GUGCUCGCUUUGGCAGCACAUAUACUAAAAUUGGAACGAUACAGAGCAGAUUAGCAUGGCCCCUGCACAAGGAUGACAUGCAAAUUUGUGAAGCACUCCAUAUUUAA
rnacentral:snRNA from 1 species